UACGGAAGGCAGCAGUGGGGAAUAUUGCACAAUGGGCGCAAGCCUGAUGCAGCCAUGCCGCGUGUAUGAAGAAGGCCUUCGGGUUGUAAAGUACUUUCAGUCGUGAGGAAGGUGUUAAGGUUAAUAACCUUAGCAAUUGACGUUAGCGACAGAAGAAGCACCGGCUAACUCCGUGCCAGCAGCCGCGGUAAUACGGAGGGUGCGAGCGUUAAUCGGAAUUACUGGGCGUAAAGGGCACGCAGGCGGUUAAUUAAGUUCGGAUGUGAAAUCCCCGGGCUUAACCUGGGAAUGGCAUUCAAGACUGGUUAGCUAGAGUCUUGUAGAGGGGGUUAGAAUUCCAUGUGUAGCGGUGAAAUGCGUAGAGAUGUGGAGGAAUACCGGUGGCGAAGGCGGCCCCUGGACAAAGACUGACGCUCAUGUGCGAAAGCGUGGGGAGCAAACAGGGAUUAGAUACC
rnacentral:rRNA from 1 species